CCUACGGGAGGCAGCAGUAGGGAAUAUUGCUCAAUGGGGGAAACCCUGAAGCAGCAACGCCGCGUGGAGGAUGAAGGUUUUCGGAUUGUAAACUUCUUUUGUUAGAGUAGAUAAUGACGGUAUCUAACGAAUAAGCACCGGCUAACUCCGUGCCAGCAGCCGCGGUAAUACGGAGGGUGCAAGCGUUACUCGGAAUCACUGGGCGUAAAGAGCGCGUAGGCGGGAUAGCAAGUCAGAUGUGAAAUCCUAUGGCUUAACCAUAGAACUGCAUUUGAAACUGUGAUUCUAGAGUAUGGGAGAGGUAGGUGGAAUGCUUGGUGUAGGGGUAAAAUGCGUAGAGAUCAAGAGGAAUACUCAUUGCGAAGGCGACCUGCUAGAACAUAACUGACGCUGAUGCGCGAAAGCGUGGGGAGCAAACAGGAUUAGAUACCCGGGUAGUC
rnacentral:rRNA from 1 species